GAUGAACGCUGACAGAAUGCUUAACACAUGCAAGUCUUUGGCGAAUCUGUGCUUGCACAGGCUAGCCAAGGCGGACGGGUGAGUAACGCGUAAAGAACUUGCCCUGCAGACAGGGAUAACAGACGGAAACGACUGAUAACACCUGAUACAGUUGCCGGCACGCAUGUGCCUGGCAAUGAAAAGAGAUGCUGCAGGAGAGCUUUGCGUCCUAUUAGCUUGUUGGUGAGGUGACGGCUCACCAAGGCGAUGAUAGGUAGCCGGCCUGAGAGGGUGAACGGCCACAAGGGGACUGAGGUACCGGCCCUUCCCCCAACGGGGGGCAGCGUGGGGAAUAUUGGACAAUGGGGGCAACCCUGAUCCAGCAAUUCUGUGUGCACGAAGAAGGUUUUCGGAUUGUAAAGUGCUUUCAGCAGGGAAGAAGAAAGUGACGGUACCUGCAGAAGAAGCGACGGCUAAAUACGUG
rnacentral:rRNA from 1 species